rnacentral:rRNA from 2 species
GGGUUGUGAGGUUAAGCGACUAAGCGUACACGGUGGAUGCCCUGGCAGUCAGAGGCGAUGAAGGACGUGCUAAUCUGCGAAAAGCGUCGGUAAGGUGAUAUGAACCGUUACAGCCGGCGAUGUCCGAAUGGGGAAACCCAGUGUGAUUCGUCACACUAUCGUUAACUGAAUACAUAGGUUAACGAGGCGAACCGGGGGAACUGAAACAUCUAAGUACCCCGAGGAAAAGAAAUCAACCGAGAUUCCCCCAGUAGCGGCGAGCGAACGGGGAGCAGCCCAGAGUCUGAAUCAGCUUGUGUGUUAGUGGAACGGUCUGGAAAGUCCGACGGUACAGGGUGAUAGUCCCGUACACCAAAAUGCACAGGCUGUGAACUCGAAGAGUAGGGCGGGACACGUGGUAUCCUGUCUGAAUAUGGGGGGACCAUCCUCCAAGGCUAAAUACUCCUGACUGACCGAUAGUGAACCAGUACCGUGAGGGAAAGGCGAAAAGAACCCCGGCGAGGGGAGUGAAAAAGAACCUGAAACCGUGUACGUACAAGCAGUGGGAGCACCUUCGGGUGUGACUGCGUACCUUUUGUAUAAUGGGUCAGCGACUUAUAUUCUGUAGCAAGGUUAACCGUAUAGGGGAGCCGCAGGGAAACCGAGUCUUAACUGGGCGUUAAGUUGCAGGGUAUAGACCCGAAACCCGGUGAUCUAGCCAUGGGCAGGUUGAAGGUUGGGUAACACUAACUGGAGGACCGAACCGACUAAUGUUGAAAAAUUAGCGGAUGACUUGUGGCUGGGGGUGAAAGGCCAAUCAAACCGGGAGAUAGCUGGUUCUCCCCGAAAGCUAUUUAGGUAGCGCCUCGUGAAUUCAUCUCCGGGGGUAGAGCACUGUUUCGGCUAGGGGGCCAUCCCGGCUUACCAACCCGAUGCAAACUACGAAUACCGGAGAAUGUUAUCACGGGAGACACACGGCGGGUGCUAACGUCCGUCGUGAAGAGGGAAACAACCCAGACCGCCAGCUAAGGUCCCAAAGUCAUGGUUAAGUGGGAAACGAUGUGGGAAGGCACAGACAGCCAGGAUGUUGGCUUAGAAGCAGCCAUCAUUUAAAGAAAGCGUAAUAGCUCACUGGUCGAGUCGGCCUGCGCGGAAGAUGUAACGGGGCUAAACCAUGCACCGAAGCUGCGGCAGCGACACUAAGUGUUGUUGGGUAGGGGAGCGUUCUGUAAGCCUGCGAAGGUGUGCUGUGAGGCAUGCUGGAGGUAUCAGAAGUGCGAAUGCUGACAUAAGUAACGAUAAAGCGGGUGAAAAGCCCGCUCGCCGGAAGACCAAGGGUUCCUGUCCAACGUUAAUCGGGGCAGGGUGAGUCGACCCCUAAGGCGAGGCCGAAAGGCGUAGUCGAUGGGAAACAGGUUAAUAUUCCUGUACUUGGUGUUACUGCGAAGGGGGGACGGAGAAGGCUAUGUUAGCCGGGCGACGGUUGUCCCGGUUUAAGCAUGUAGGCUGGUUAUCCAGGCAAAUCCGGAUAAUCAAGGCUGAGGUGUGAUGACGAGGCACUACGGUGCUGAAGUAACAAAUGCCCUGCUUCCAGGAAAAGCCUCUAAGCAUCAGGUAACACGAAAUCGUACCCCAAACCGACACAGGUGGUCAGGUAGAGAAUACCAAGGCGCUUGAGAGAACUCGGGUGAAGGAACUAGGCAAAAUGGUGCCGUAACUUCGGGAGAAGGCACGCUGAUAUGUAGGUGAAGCCCCUGCGGGUGGAGCUGAAAUCAGUCGAAGAUACCAGCUGGCUGCAACUGUUUAUUAAAAACACAGCACUGUGCAAACACGAAAGUGGACGUAUACGGUGUGACGCCUGCCCGGUGCCGGAAGGUUAAUUGAUGGGGUUAUCCGUAAGGAGAAGCUCUUGAUCGAAGCCCCGGUAAACGGCGGCCGUAACUAUAACGGUCCUAAGGUAGCGAAAUUCCUUGUCGGGUAAGUUCCGACCUGCACGAAUGGCGUAAUGAUGGCCAGGCUGUCUCCACCCGAGACUCAGUGAAAUUGAACUCGCUGUGAAGAUGCAGUGUACCCGCGGCAAGACGGAAAGACCCCGUGAACCUUUACUAUAGCUUGACACUGAACAUUGAGCCUUGAUGUGUAGGAUAGGUGGGAGGCUUUGAAGCGUGGACGCCAGUCUGCGUGGAGCCAACCUUGAAAUACCACCCUUUAAUGUUUGAUGUUCUAACGUGGACCCGUAAUCCGGGUUGCGGACAGUGUCUGGUGGGUAGUUUGACUGGGGCGGUCUCCUCCCAAAGAGUAACGGAGGAGCACGAAGGUUGGCUAAUCCUGGUCGGACAUCAGGAGGUUAGUGCAAUGGCAUAAGCCAGCUUGACUGCGAGCGUGACGGCGCGAGCAGGUGCGAAAGCAGGUCAUAGUGAUCCGGUGGUUCUGAAUGGAAGGGCCAUCGCUCAACGGAUAAAAGGUACUCCGGGGAUAACAGGCUGAUACCGCCCAAGAGUUCAUAUCGACGGCGGUGUUUGGCACCUCGAUGUCGGCUCAUCACAUCCUGGGGCUGAAGUAGGUCCCAAGGGUAUGGCUGUUCGCCAUUUAAAGUGGUACGCGAGCUGGGUUUAGAACGUCGUGAGACAGUUCGGUCCCUAUCUGCCGUGGGCGCUGGAGAAUUGAGGGGGGCUGCUCCUAGUACGAGAGGACCGGAGUGGACGCAUCACUGGUGUUCGGGUUGUCAUGCCAAUGGCACUGCCCGGUAGCUACAUGCGGAAGAGAUAAGUGCUGAAAGCAUCUAAGCACGAAACUUGCCCCGAGAUGAGUUCUCCCCUGGACUUUAAGUCCACUAAAGGAACGUUGAAGACGACGACGUUGAUAGGCCGGGUGUGUAAGCGCAGCGAUGCGUUGAGCUAACCGGUACUAAUGAACCGUGAGGCUUAACCUUACAACGCCGAAG